AUUGAACGCUGGCGGCAGGCCUAACACAUGCAAGUCGAACGAGUGGCGGACGGGUGAGUAAUGUCUGGGAAACUGCCCGCUGGAGGGGGAUAACUACUGGACACGGUAGCUAAUACCGCAUACCAUCGGAUGUGCCCCGAUGGGCUUAGCUAGUAGGUGGGGUAACGGCUCACCUAGGCGACGAUCCCUAGCUGGUCUGCGAGGAUGACCAGCGACACUGGAACUGGGACACGGUCCAGACUCCUACGGGAGGCAUCAGUGGGGAAUAUGGAACAAUGGGCGCAAGCCUGAUGCAGCCAUGCCGCGUGUAUGAAGAAGGCCUUCGGGUUGUAAAGUACUUUCAGCGGGGAGGCGUUACUCGCAGAAGAAGCACCGGCUAACUCCGUGCCAGCAGCCGCGGUAAUAC
rnacentral:rRNA from 1 species